CUCAUUGAAACACCAGUUCCUGUACGAUUACUGAAGUUAGGCAACAUUGAGCCUGGUCAGUACCUAGAUGGGUGACCACUUGGGAUUACCAGGUGUUA